CGAACAUUCGGACCGUUGGUCUACCGAGCAAUAUCACCUCUCUCGGUGGAAGAUCUUACCAUUGUCGA
rnacentral:pre_miRNA from 1 species